CACUUGUGCGGUCGGGGUCUCAACAGCAGCGCACAAGGGGGAUUGCCUACUGUGGGGAAAGAUGUUGAAACAGGCAUAAGGGUGGCGAAGCUAGCGCCCGAACAUCGAACGGCUGGCGGGU
rnacentral:sRNA from 12 species